rnacentral:lncRNA from 1 species
UCCAUCUCAGAGACCGGUCCCAGAACACAAGAAAGUUCAGAAAAGUUGUUUAAAAACAAUCUAAGCCUUCUGAACUUAUUCUAAUUAUGUAUCUUCACCACAAAUGAUCUUUUCUUCAUACCUUAGGUGUCGAUCUUUCCGAAUGAGUCUUCGUCCUUCAAUUUGAAUCUCUUCUCAAAAACUUCUGCGAUCAACUCUUCAAGACUCCAAACAACUUUACGAAAUUCGCCAACCUAUAAAAUCCUUAACAAUCUCCCCCUUUGGCGAUUUCGUGACAAAAUAUAACACAAAGUUUGUAUACAACCAAUAAGUCAUAAAAAGAAGAUCAUCGCAAUCACCAAACGAUAAUCUCCUGCAUGAUCAAUCCAAUAAACAAAAUUUACACUUUUACAACCUUAAUACAAACUCUAUGACUUAGACAUGGAGUCUUGAAGUCUUGAAUUAUUCCUGCAAAAACAUUCUCAAAACAUAAUCAAGAUUCAAGUAUCAAGAAGAUCAAACAAUCAACUAAAGUUCACACUUCAUAGUUCAUAGUCAAACUAACCGAAAGCACUAAGUCAGACACCUAAAGCAUCAUAGUUCAUAAUUAAACAUCUUAACUAACUAAACAUCAGGAAUGCAUUAAACAUCUUAACUAACUAAACAUCAGGAAUGCAUCAUCAUCAUCAUUAAGACCAGACCAUCCCAUCCAUCUCCCCCUUUUUGUCAGAAAGCGCCAAAACGACAAAAGGAGAAGCUCGGUAACUCCUAGUCAGAAUCAUCUCCUGGAGGUAAAUCUGCCCGACAACAUCCCAAUUUGUCAAAAAUCAUAUUCAACAGGCGCUUCAUCUUGCUCACAUCCUUACGAAUCGCAGCUUGUUCUGCAGACAACUUCUGAAGCUCCUCAGAUAGACGUUGCUGCUCGCGAUACACCGAUGAAACGGAAAUAUCUUCCUCAGAAAUGUCCAUAGAAGGACGGGAAGAAGUAGCAGUAGCAGGAGGUGGAGCUGCAGGAGGGGAAGAAGCACGU